rnacentral:lncRNA from 1 species
AUCUAGAAAAGCUAGGGCUUUUCUCCACCGCCGCUAUCGUCGUCGCGUGGCGUCGCAAUCAUAUAUCCACCGCCAUCGUCGUCUCCAUCGCUAUCCCCUCCUUCAUUGUUGUCUCCACUGCAAUCGGAAUCCCUUCCUCCACUGCCAUCGCGAUUACCACCGCCACCGCCACCGCCAUCGCGAUUACCACCGCCACCGCCAUCGCCAACGCCACUAAUGUCUCCGCUUUCUUCUCGUAUUGAUUUUUUGCCCUAAAAUUUAUGUCUACCUACGUUUUACUCUUUAAACGUUUUAUUAGGUAAAUUUGUAUUGUUGCCAAUGGACUUCAUCAUUUCUAGAAUGCCGAAAUUCACUGUCCUCUCUCCUUCUUUAGCUCAUUGGCAACAAUAAAAAGCUUCAACUUGAGGAUGUGAAUGCUGUCUCUAUGAGCUUUGGCC